CUUUAUAAUUUAUGUUACAGGUUGCACCUGUUUUACAAAAUCUUCAAGGUUCAAAUAAAAGAUUGGUUCAGCAGUUAUAGCUAUAUUUUUUGAAGAUAGAGCUCUUUAUCGAGCGGAAGUUCUGAAUAUUGAUACGCGGAAGGAUGCAUACGUAGUUCAGUACAUAGAUUUUGGAAAUUGCGCAGUCUAAUCAACAUCGCGUAUUUCAAAUUCGACAUCGAUGACAUCUCCGGAGAGUUAGAUGCAAAGAGACCGGUACCUUUCCGCUUGACGCCCAAUAUCUUCGAAUUUCUCACAACUAUAGGAGUUUGCGGACCAUUGACCGCUAGCGUGAUCGCCACAGCGCGCUGUUUGGUUCAGCCCACGUUCCAGCUGCAUGCUAUACUUCGCACAAUUUUGCGGGAUGAAGUGAUCGCGGACCAUAAACGGCAAGAAGACGCCGAGGGCACAUCACAAGAGCCGACCGAUCUAAAGGGUGGACUUCUGAUAAAGAUGGUGAACCACGCGGUCAACGCGAUUGUCGGUAGACUAAAUUCUCUCGCGAAUUUCGACGGCAUUGACAGUAAGGUCAGCACACUAGUAGCCGCUGCCAAUAGCCAUGACAAUCUCUGCAGAAUGGAUCCCUCGUGGCACCCAUGGCUGUAAGAUACAGAACGUUUGGCCUAACAACACAUUUGUGCUAUAACGAGAAAAGGAUUAAAAUCAUUAUCGCAUUAUUCAUUUUAUUUUCUUGCCCAUAUACGUUCUUAUAUUUUAUAACACUGACGCUAGCUUUCAGGAAGUUAUUGAAAAAUGAAAGAUGAUAAAGAGAAGUUAGACGCUAGAAAAGUAUUAUUUAUAAUCUAUACAUAUAUAUAGAUAUAUGAAUAUACGUAGUUUAUAUGCAUUAUAACAUUAAUUUUGUACAACGUAAAUCGAAACUAUUUGUAAACUGCGAAUUUAA